CAAAUCUGCCUGAGCCCAUUCAUUCCAAUGACCCAGCCCAUUUUUUUAACUCAUUUUCCAAACCUAAUCUUUCAUCCCAAAUAUGCAGCCAAAACGUCUCCCUCAUCCCUUUUCCCUUUCAAGAAAAAAACUUCAGUACCCUACAUCAAUGGCAGAAGCUUGCCCUUUCCAUUUUCGCGAAAAAACUUCAGAUCUUGGCGUGACCACUGACAGAAGGACGCUCCCCCUUUCAUAUUUGACCAAAACUAUUCGAAAUAUAGAGGUAUAUGUCAUCUUAACCCAAUAUUUUCACUCUGUCUUCUUCCAUUUCGGGCAAAAAUCUGACCAAAUCACGUGAAAGGUCUACAAGUUCGUCCAAAAUUUUCAAACGGGCAUUUUGACUCAAGAUUCAAACCAGAUGCUCUAAGAAUCCCGCCCAAAAAACAUCCCAAAACCCUAGCUCGCAGUUAUAAAUAUUCGUUUUGCAUCCAUUUUAGGACGGAGGUUUUUUUUUGGGAGCCAUCACCCCUCACUUUAAAUUACUAUUGAAACCAAACUUCACUCUAAAAAAGGUACUUUCGGUUUCUGUCAAGAUUUCGGACUCAAAGGGUUUUUCGAGUUCAAAGUAUUCGACGUUUGAGCCUUAGAUCGGUGACCUAAAAGCCCUAGCUCGCUGCAUCCGAAAAAGGUCAGUAAUUCUCCUUCUCUUUUUACUUCAGUUCUGUUCUUUAUGUUUAAUAUUUUUUAGUUUGUUUUAUGUAGAUUCCAGAAUAUUAGUUAAGGUUUAGUUGUCUAAUUUCAAUAGGAAUAUGAGUUAGUUGUAGCUUUGUUUCGAUUUUAUGUGAACACAUAUAUCUUUUGUGCCUUUAUUGAGCUUAUUUCUCUUUUCAUCGAACUUGCGAAGUAUGAACCAUUUAUAGCUUUUAGUAUUAUUUCCAUCUGUUCAAAAAACGAUUUAGUUUAAGAAGAUACUCAAAGUAUGGGCUGUUAGAUAAUGUGAUUUAAUCUUCGGAUGCAUAUGUGUUUUAGUUUUACAGUCCAGUUUUUCAAUUUGAACCUAUUCUCAUCUUCAGUUGAAUAGCUGGCCUUUAGUUUUUGCUCUGUCGCAGUUCAAAUGGUGUAUUCUCUGUGGUUAUAGUCCAAAAUGGUUUAACAUUAGCUCUCUAAAUCUUGCUCUAGUUCAAAUAAUUCUGGGCGUAUGGCUUGUUUAUUUGUUUUCAAGUAGUUACUAAAUAUCGAGUUCUAGUUUAUUUCCCCUUAUUGCUAUAAUGGACUGAUUCACUGCUAAAAUUAAGUUCUGUCCAGUUUCGUGACUGAGUUAAAAAUCAAGUUUAUGCUUAGAUUAGGAUAAAAAUGUAUGAGUUUCCCAGUUCAUGUGCUUUCUAUAUUUAUUUGUUUUCUCUAAAUAAGGCGGAGACUACUUUCUAUGUGCUAUUUUGAGGAAAAUUGAUCCUUAGUAACAAGAUCUCAUUUUUCCCGGAGUGUUUGACUUGAGUUUAAAUGUAAUUACCAAACUUUGGCUUUUUUUUUCCUUGAUUAAAUGCCUCAAGUAGCUAGGAAUUACUUGCUAAAUAUUAGUUUGAACCAAAUUUCCUACUCAUGACUAUUUUAGCACUAUGUGGCCAGUUAUUGGUUUGUUUGUAAGCACGUGUUGAGAAUGGUUAGAAUGUAAUCCUUUCCCACCUUCGUUUUUUUUUCUCUCUUUCUAAAGUGUUUAGUCUUGUACUAAACUCUAAUAGUAUAAACGUGAACAAGUUUAGCAUAUGAUGUGCUCUGUGUAUAUUCAGUUGGAUAGAAGUUCUCGGAAGGAGUUAGUUUAACUCAUGAAGUAAUUUUGAUGGUGUUCUGUUUGACCCUUGCUUGUUUUUUUUUUCCUCCGAAAAGUUAGAUUUGGAGUUAGAAGUAGUAUUUAGCUGCUUAGGAUUAGUUAGCUACCACCAUUGGAUUUUACUUAAAGCUUCGUCCUGAAACUCUUUCUCUUCCUUAACAAAUUAAAAGAAGUUGCUUGUUUGUUUGAGAUUCAGCUUAUAAAUGAUACCUUCAAGGUUCUGGUCUUGUGUUUUGUUUGUUCUGUUGCUUUAGCUUUCUAUGAAGAUGAGAAGUGUAGGUUUGAUCCCUUUUUGUUGACAUCUUGGUGUGUUUAGCUCUGCAGAAUUCUUGCUUUGUUUCACUAGAUUUUCCCUUAAUUUAAAUUUGUAGUCAAAUCGUUUUUAUACUUGUUGAUGACUUGCAUUUACUCAAAGUCUAUUGCAUCUUGUUUCUGUUGAGUAGGCUGAAGCAUUUUUAAAAUUUAAGUCCCAUGAGUUCAAGCCACUGAAUAUGUGUGAACCAGAAUUCUCUUUAUUAACAUGGACGAUAUGUUUACGAACAAGUCUAAAGCCAUAAUAUGUACAGCAUGUUUAAGGUGUAUGUUAAUCAUAUAGGAAGGGCUGUGAAUUUCUAUUAUGUAAAGGUUUCUGGUUCCCUCGAUUAAAAUCAUGGCAUAGGCUUGUAUUUAAACAAUGUCUAUUUAAAUGAUAUUGGAAUUAAGGUUAAAGUCUAAUCUUUAGAAUGACUUAUAUAAUACUUCUUUGAACUCUCUGAAUUUUAGUUUGUGUUUGCAAUUAAGUUUUCAUGUUUAUUUCUCUUGCAAUCUGCAUCUGUUGGACGCUGCCUGCUAUGCUAUUUAAGAAUUUAUCUUUGUCUAUUUGUGUUCCAUAUUAAAUCUGCUCUUUUCCUAAUUCUUUUCUCUUCUUUGUUUUCAUGACAUAUGGGAGCAUUCUUGAGUCUUGCAUUGAGACUCGAUAUGGCUGCUGCUAAACUCAAGGCCUGCAUUUACAUCUCAUUGCAUCUUCUCUCGCCCUCUAUGCCUCCGAGCAGAAAAGGAAAACAGAAAGAGGGGCGAGACGUCGCUCCUAUCUCUCAUUAGCCAUUGCAUUCGCUCUCUUCUAGCCGAAUAUGAAAUGAGAGCUAGGCUUAAGUAACUAAAACGCCCCCGAACUUGGCACGAAUUGCAACUUUCGUCCCCAAACUAUUGCUGCACUUCAAGACACCCCUGGACUUGGCAAAAUGGGUUUUAAUUAAUCCCCGAGCUGCCACAUGGCAUAGUGAGUGUAGUCACACGCCAAGAGGCGCGUGAGAGGUGCCACAUCAGCAUAAAAACGAGUUUAUAGAUGUGGAUUUCCGGCGGUGGUAAGGAUUUCAUGGUCCGAUGACAAUCUGGGAAGGAGAUUUUGGGGUUGUCAAAAUUACAAGGUGAAAGGUCGAAGUUCUUGCAAAUUUUUCGAUUGGUAUGAACCACCAUUUCCGGAGCAAGCUAAUGUUGUUAUUUGGGGUUUGUUGAAGAAAAACAAAUAUGAGCAAGAGUUGAAGUGGUCAAAAACAUUGAAGAUUUGUCUACGUAUUAGUGUCCUAUGUAAUUUGAUGUUUUAUCUUGGUUCUGGUAGUAGUACUAAUUAGGUUGAAGUGAAGUUGUACUUAGAUAAUUAACAACGGUUGUAGUACUAAUUAGGUUGAAGUGAAGUUCUAUUUAGAUGAUUAACAAUGUAAUCUAAUUUUGGUUAGCAUAUUGAAUAUGAUUAUGAUGA